GCGGAUGUGGCGGAAUUGGUAUACGCGCACGCUUGAGGUGCGUGUGGCAUUAUGUCCUUGCGAGUUCGAGUCUCGCCAUCCGCA
rfam:Oscillatoria nigro-viridis PCC 7112, complete genome.